AUGCGUGCUUGCCUAGAUUGUAAGGUGAUACCAAGAGAGAGUGUUGUCACUCAACAUAAGCUUGUGGUGGCUGACUUCCACUUUCGGAUUCGUGUCAGCGGGAUAGGCGCGCCAAAGACGCUAGAACGAAGUGGUGGAAGCUCAAGGGGGAGGGUUAUUAAGGAGGGCCCUUGGGAGGAAGGAGGUGAUGCAAAUAAUAUGUGGAUGAAGAUGGCGAUUUGCAUUCCUAAGGUGGCUUCAAAGUUUGGGGUGAACAGGGGAAGUAGAAUCGAAGCUAACGAUACUUGGUGGUGGAAAUAG
rnacentral:rRNA from 1 species